rnacentral:rRNA from 1 species
CGCGUAGGCGGCUUGGUCAGUCGGAUGUGAAAGCCCCGGGCUUAACCUGGGAAUUGCAUUCGAUACUGCUAGGCUAGAGUGUAGUAGAGGGAAGCGGAAUUCCAGGUGUAGCGGUGAAAUGCGUAGAUAUCUGGAGGAACAUCAGUGGCGAAGGCGGCUUCCUGGACUAACACUGACGCUGAGGUGCGAAAGCGUGGGGAGCAAACA